rnacentral:rRNA from 1 species
UACGUAGGCAGCGAGCGUUGUUCGGAGUUACUGGGCGUAAAGGGUGUGUAGGCGGUUGUUUAAGUUUGGUGUGAAAUCUCCCGGCUCAACUGGGAGGGUGCGCCGAAUACUGAAUGACUUGGAGUGCGGGAGAGGAAAGUGGAAUUCCUGGUGUAGCGGUGAAAUGCGUAGAUAUCAGGAGGAACACCGGUGGUGUAGACGGCUUUCUGGACCGUAACUGACGCUGAAACACGAAAGCGUGGGUAGCAAACAGG